GAAAAUGAAUUUCCCCUUGGCUGCCAGGUGCACAGCCUCCCAGAAGUCUUUGGGAGAGGGUGAGUAAUCUGUUUGGCCCACACUGUGUGGACAGCCUAGCAUCCCAAUGCAGCCCCUGUUCCUGUUUCCAAAAAGAAAUUUGGAAAGCCGCCUCUGGGAGGCUGCACAGGGAUCACGGUGUUUGUGAGGACAAAGCAAGUUGGAUUUUCCUGCCGCUGUUCUUCAUCCUGCCAGAUCACGGGAGUUGUACGAUCUGGUAAAGCUGCCAAAGACUUAACACAAUCUCAAAGCCUUUAUAUACCAGGUCACCUAAUCCAAAACAAUAAGCCCUUUUCUCUGGGGAAUGCAAAUCUUCCAGAACGCCGAAAGUGGUUGAAAACAUACUUAUUCAUCCAAAGGGGAGAACUUCCAGAAGUGGAUUACGUAGAUUUAUAGAACACAACUUCAGAGUGGUCACCGUAGCAACCGUGCCAUUUUCUUCUUCUUCUGCCUGGCUGGGUGACAAGUUACAUCACUAAUCCUGAGUUUAUUAAGAAGUGUCAUCAUCUCAUGUUGGAAAUCUCUCUGGAGGGUUUGGUGCCUUCUCUGAGGGAAUGAAGGAACAAAGAGUGGAGCAGAGACCGAAGGAAAG